rnacentral:lncRNA from 1 species
AAACCAUGAUGAAACUUACGUUCGUAAAAUUCCUUCAUGGUAAAAUCGGAAUUCGUUUGGUUUUCUUCCGUGGUUUUCCGAUGCAGUUGCACAUCUUGCGUUUGUGAGGUUUUCAGCGAUGCCUUCUCGUAGAUGUUCAAGAUGUUCACUGUAGUGUGUAACUAGACCCGUGAACGUGGCGUUUUCACGGGUCUGUAAAAGUUAACUAACUAAUGUCGAUACUAAUGAUCAUGUUUCCCGACGAGCAUGCAUGAUCGCUGCACGUGCCGUGUAGCUCCAUUCUGUACAUGGGCACGCACUGCAGCUGCAGAGAAUGGGACACCCUGCCGUAGAGUGCUGGUCCAAGGAAUCGACGCCACGUAAUGCUGACUUGACUGUUGACGUCUGGGCCUGUGACCUUUCAGACUCUUGUCAGACAAAUGCGGUCAAAUGCGGGGUUCCCAAGCAUCACUACCAUGACUACUUUACAGUGAGAUUCCCAAAACUGAAGCUUUGAAGCCAGUGUUUUACAGGUCUCAUUUCUGUUAGGACACCAGGCUUGAAGGCUAGAUGCUCCCCUGCUCUAUGAUGAGAUAUGACACGCAACACGCCUCAGUUUGUCCAUGCCUAGCCAUGCACUCUCCAAGCCAGUCCCCAGGACCUACUCCACCGGCAGAACCUUCAUCCACACUGCAGUCCAUGUCUGGAACAGUCUCCCAGAUUGUGAAGUGGGAGAGAUGAAAGACAGUGGUGCUCCUUCAAACGUAGGGUGCAUCAACAUCUCCUGUCAACACAUUGAUUUGCUGCAUGCAAGUCCCUACAUCUAUCCAGUUCCUGUUCUGAUGAAGCAGCUUUCCCAGCCCAUGACUCUGUUCAGGUUUGGUGCAUGUAACUCAGCCCUAUCCCCUGUUUCCUUGCUUCAAGGCAGGUAAGUCUUGUUUGGAACUUGUAGUAGAUGGUGAUCUUUCAACUGAAAAUUUACAAGCUUGCCCACAGUCAUAGGAAAAUAACACAUCAUUAUUCGGUAAGACUUAGUUCUCCUAGUUCUCUUAGUUCAUUCAACCCCCUCCCCCUCAAAAAAAAAAGUGUUUGUCAUAAAAUUGUAAUACUUUUGCGAAUAGUUGAGCAUGCAUACAGGUAUGUUACCAUUAUUCAAGCCCUUGAUUUUUUGAUGAGGCAACUUUAUUGCAGUUUAUUCUGAAACUACAUUGUGUAUUGUAUGCAAAUUAGCAAAGUACAUGUACAUGCAUAGCUUCUUCGAGAUGGGAACUGUGACUGAGUCUGCAGCACUUCUUGAAUUAAGCUAACCUUAACCCUGCUGAAUCCAACAGGAUCCAACUAU